CCUACGGGAGGCAGCAGUGGGGAAUCUUGCGCAAUGGGCGAAAGCCUGACGCAGCCAUGCCGCGUGAAUGAUGAAGGUCUUAGGAUUGUAAAAUUCUUUCACCGGGGACGAUAAUGACGGUACCCGGAGAAGAAGCCCCGGCUAACUUCGUGCCAGCAGCCGCGGUAAUACGAAGGGGGGCUAGCGUUGCUCGGAAUUACUGGGCGUAAAGGGAGCGUGGGCGGAUAGUUUAGUCAGAGGUGAAAGCCCAGGGCACAACCUUGGAAUUGCCUUUGAUACUGGCUAUCUUGAGUAUGGGAGAGGUUAGCGGAACUCCGAGUGUAGAGGUGAAAUUCGUAGAUAUUCGGAAGAACACCAGUGGCGAAGGCGGCUAACUGGCCCAUUACUGACGCUGAGGCUCGAAAGCGUGGGGAGCAAACAGGAUUAGAUACCCUGGUAGUCCACGCCGUAAACGAUGAGUGCUAGUUGUCGGCAUGCAUGCAUGUCGGUGACGCAGCUACGACAUAAGACACUCCGCCGUGGGAGGUACGGUCGCGAGAUAAACUACAAGAAGUAGACGCGNGAGACGUGCCGAACGGACGACGACGAGGGAGGUAGG
rnacentral:rRNA from 1 species